ACAGUCACCUUGACAUUGCUCACCUGCCUGGGCCUCAGCCCAUGACCAAGGAAACUUUUGCCCUCCCUCCCCAGGAGCUCACUUACAGGCCAUCUUCAAAGGUACUGCCUACCUGAACCUGCCUUGUCCCAAAGGACACACUUCAAUCUGGGGAGAGUUUAAAGUUGUAGACAUAUCCAUUUUCAUUUAAGGAAUAUGAAGAUCAGGGAGGCAAAAUAUAGAGAUAUAGAGAGGAAAAACUGAGAGAUGAUCAGAAAUUCAGACGCAUUCGGAAUGAGCACCCUUGACCAUACCAAGAACAAAGACUCUAUAAAAAUGUGAAGUCUUAUUAUUGUUCAUCCAUGUUCUACGUGGGAUCCACCCAAGACAUUGAAAACUGUACAGAACAGGGUGAAAUUGAAUCAGAUCAUUCUGUACUCCUAACAAGGUCCACCCCAUGAGAGACUUGCAGCAGAAUUAAUGACACUGUAUAUUUUCCUCUACUAACAACAACAAGAACAACAACAACAACAAUCUAGGAAAAUCAAAGGCAGCCCGACAUGGAAAAAAACACAAAAUGAAUAUUUGGAUUACAAAUAGUGUGAUGGGAAGAACACACUGCCAAAAGUCCACCUAGUAUGUUGAAAUUACUGUUUCUAGCACAUAUAAGAUGAGGAAAAGGAAGAUCAAAAAGGUCAUAUCAUUUGCUUACAUAAACAGUGAUGAAAUUCAGAUUCAACCUUGGAACUUUGGAUCUCAUGCCCUGUCACAAACGGGACUUAGGAAACCAACUGGCUUUCAUCUAGAUUUGCUGCCAAUUUGUACUGACUUCUGAAAAAUACUUUAUCCAUUGUCUUCUUACAUCAGAAUCAACUCCCUAAAUUCUUCAGCACUGGCUUUGUAAACUGGUUUCUGGUCUUUGUUUCUGGUGAAUAACAAUAAGGCAAUGUAGAAGAAAGCAAGUCCCAUCAAAGGGAGCUCCAGUCUCUAUAGACUGAUAAAAAGGAGCCUCAGAACUUAAACCUCUGGAUCAGGAGAAUCAAAAAACAUCAUGCCUCUCUAUGAUACCCGCCCAAACUCUUUCAGCUAAACAGAAGCACUUUCAAAUAUACAAUUCCGGCAGAGUCUGCAUUUUUGUUGUAAGAGCCUCAUGUUUUUAGUCAGACACAUCCG
rnacentral:lncRNA from 1 species